rnacentral:rRNA from 1 species
AGGACGAACGCUGGCGGCGUGCCUAACACAUGCAAGUCGAGCGGAGAUCAUGGAGAGCUUGCUCAAAAUGAUUUUAGCGGCGGACGGGUGAGUAACGCGUGAGUAACCUGCCCUUAACUGUGGGAUAACACACCGAAAGGUGUGCUAAUACCGCAUAACGUGUUUGGGUGGCAUCGCCUGAACACCAAAGGAGCAAUCCGCUGAAAGAUGGCUUCGCGUCUGAUUAGCUAGAUGGCGGGGUAACGGCCCACCAUGGCGACGAUCAGUAGCCGGUCUGAGAGGAUGAACGGCCACAUUGGGACUGAGAUACGGCCCAGACUCCUACGGGAGGCAGCAGGUGGGGAAUAUUGGGCAAUGGGGGAAACCCUGACCCAGCAACGCCGCGUGAAGGAAGAAGGCCUUCGGGUUGUAAACUUCUUUUAGCAGGGACGAAGAACGUGACGGUACCUGCAGAAAAAGCAACGGCUAACUACGUG